rnacentral:misc_RNA from 1 species
AGCCUCUAUUUCAUUGAUAGUAAAAGGUGUCUCAGAGGCAAGUAUGAUAGGAUCCUCAUGCCCUUGCCGUUUUCUGGAUUGCUUCAAGCUAAAGCAGCCUUUGAAAGCACGCAUUUUGACAUACAAUUAUGCACAAAAGCAAGCACAAGUAGUUUAUGCCAAUCUGCUUGCAAACGGUAUCCUGGGUAGUGUUCUUUUUUAUUUUUGGUUCGAAACCUGGGUAGUGUUCUUCAAACUAUGAAGAGCUGGUUAUUUUCACUUCUCCAAGCAGACAACUGGACUUUUCUGUUCUUCUCCUGGUAU